rnacentral:rRNA from 1 species
AUUGAACGCUGGCGGCAGGCUUAACACAUGCAAGUCGAGCGGAGAUGAGGUGCUUGCACCUUAUCUUAGCGGCAGACGGGUGAGUAAUGCUUAGGAAUCUGCCUAUUAGUGGGGGACAACAUUCCGAAAGGAAUGCUAAUACCGCAUACGUCCUACGGGAGAAAGCAGGGGAUCUUCGGACCUUGAGCUAAUAGAUGAGCCGAAGUCGGAUUAGCUAGUUGGUGGGGUAAAGGCCUACCAAGGCGACGAUCUGUAGCGGGUCUGAGAGGAUGAUCCGCCACACUGGGACUGAGACACGGCCCAGACUCCUACGGGAGGCAGCAGUGGGGAAUAUUGGACAAUGGGGGGAACCCUGAUCCAGCCAUGCCGCGAGUGUGAAGAAGGCCUUAUGGUUGUAAAGCACUUUAAGCGAGGAGGAGGCUACUGAGACUAAUACUCUUGGAUAGUGGACGUUACUCGCAGAAUAAGCACCGGCUAACUCUGUGCCAGCCGCCGCCGUAA